CCCUUAGACGUUCUGGGCCGCACGCGCGUUACACUGAUGCAUUCAACGAGCUUAUAACCUUGGCCGAGAGGCCUGGGCAAUCUUGUUAACGUGCAUCGUGAUAGGGAUAGAUUAUUGUAAUUAUUAAUCUUGAACGAGGAAUUCCUAGUAAACGCAGAUCAUCAAUCUGCAUUGAUUACGUCCCUGCCCUUUGUACACACCGCCCGUCGCACCUACCGAUUGGAUGGUCCGGUGAAGCCUCGGGAUUGUGGUUCUUGCCGCUUUAUUGUGGCGUGACCGCGAGAACUUGUCUAAACCUUAUCAUCUAGAGGAAGGUGAAGUCGUAACA
rnacentral:rRNA from 1 species